rnacentral:rRNA from 1 species
UUCCUACGGGAGCAGCAGUGGGGAAUAUUGCACAAUGGGCGAAAGCCUGAUGCAGCAACGCCGCGUGAAGGAAGAAGGGUUUCGGCUCGUAAACUUCUAUUAACAGGGACGAAAGAAAUGACGGUACCUGAGUAAGAAGCACCGGCUAAAUACGUGCCAGCAGCCGCGGUAAUACGUAUGGUGCAAGCGUUAUCCGGAUUUACUGGGUGUAAAGGGAGCGCAGGCGGCACGGCGAGCCUGGUGUGAAAGCCCGCGGCCCAACCGCGGGA